rnacentral:rRNA from 1 species
UACGGGGGGGGGCAAGCGUUGUUCGGAAUUACUGGGCGUAAAGGGCUCGUAGGCGGCCAACUAAGUCGGAUGUGAAAUCCCCAGGCUUAACCUGGGAACUGCAUCCGAUACUGGAUGGCUUGAAUCCGGGAGAGGGAUGCAGAAUUCCCGGUGUAGUGGUGAAAUGCGUAGAGAUCGGGAGGAACACCAGUGGCGAAGGCGGCCUUCUGGGCAUUUUCCUGACGCUGAGGCGCGAAGACGUGGGGAGCAAACAGG